rnacentral:rRNA from 1 species
AGUGAACGCUGGCGGUAGGCCUAACACAUGCAAGUCGAACGGCAGCACAGUAAGAGCUUGCUCUUACGGGUGGCGAGUGGCGGACGGGUGAGGAAUACAUCGGAAUCUACUUUUUCGUGGGGGAUAACGUAGGGAAACUUACGCUAAUACCGCAUACGACCUACGGGUGAAAGCAGGGGAUCUUCGGACCUUGCGCGAUUGAAUGAGCCGAUGUCGGAUUAGCUAGUUGGCGGGGUAAAGGCCCACCAAGGCGACGAUCCGUAGCUGGUCUGAGAGGAUGACCACCCAACCUGGACUGGAGAAAGGUCCAGACUCCCUACGGAAGGCAGCAGUGGGAAUAUUGGACAAUGGGCGCAAGCCUGAUCCAGCCAUACCGCGUGGGUGAAGAAGGCCUUCGGGUUGUAAAGCCCUUUUGUUGGGAAAGAAAAGCAGCAGGUUAAUACCCCGCUGUUCUGACGGUACCCAAAGAAUAAGCACCGGCUAACUUCGUG